UACGUAGGGUGCGAGCGUUAAUCGGAAUUACUGGGCGUAAAGCGUGCGCAGGCGGUUCUCCAAGUCCGUUGUGAAAGCCCCGGGCUCAACCUGGGAAUGGCAGUGGAAACUAGGGGACUGGAAUCUGGCAGAGGGGGGUGGAAUGCCGCGUGUAGCAGUGAAAUGCGUAGAGAUGCGGCGGAACACCGAUGGCGAAGGCAGCCCCCUGGGCCAACACUGACGCUCAGGCACGAAAGCGUGGGGAGCAAACAGG
rnacentral:rRNA from 1 species